CCAGCGCCUCCUCCGCCGCGGCCCGGGCGUGCUGGAAGAGCCCCUCCUGGCAGUAGUAGUUGAGCAGCGCCUGCGGGGAAGCGGCCGCGGGUCACCGGUGCCAACGCUUCGCCCCGGGACGGCCCCGGAGACACCGCGCCCACCGCCCCGUCCCGCCCCAGCCCGGCCGGCCGCACUCCGGCCCGGCACCCCCGGCCGCCCCCACCCCUCCAUCCCUCCGCCGGGGCGGGACGCGGUGGCGCCCACCUGCUGCACCUCAGCGUCCAUCGUCGCUACCCAACGGCAGUGCGGGGGGGCUCCGGAAGGAUGGAGAAACUUCAUUUACAGCCUGACAGAGGCAUGACGAACAAGCCGGGGUUUUUGACAUACUUGUCCAGAAACGCACUCAAAUGUGAGAUGCUCUGUAGCCUGUUUGUGAACAGCGCCCAGCAAGAAUAAACUGGCUCUCCAUCCAGGUUGGGCAAUGUCAUGGAUCUAGUACUAUUUUGUGUCCUCAUUUUGUGUUUGUGAACUCCUGAGUGCUCAGUUCUCGUUCCUGUGGCUGCUCUGAGCCUCCUGGGACACGCAGGGCAGCUCUGGUACCCGAUGGCUGUGCACCCCACUGCACGGAGCUGCUGCAUGAAGGCACUCCGGGCACAACUGUUGAUACGUGCAGAAGCAUCAUGUCUAACACACAUUAAAUAAGAAAUCCCUAAUUAGUGACUAACAAGGAUUUUCUUACAUGAAAGAACAGUAUGGCUGCUGUAAAGGUUUUCAGUAUCCUCUCAUUCUGUGGUUUAAAAGCAUACUUUUUUUAUAUUAAUGUCAGAUAAUAAACACAAAAGGAACGUACAAUAAAAAAUGUAAUCUUUAUUAUUUUGACGCAUUAAUAAUGUUCUUUAGCAUCAGUUAGGGUAAUAGCAUUUUCCUGCAUGCAGUUCACUAAUACAGAUUUAGUCAAUAAUUUUAAUAAAAGUAAUCUAUAUUUAAUUUUCCUGUGUAAGAAACAUAAAAUGUCCUGAUGGAUUGGAUUAUAUAAUUUUCCUACUUUCUCUGUGAAAAAAUUUUGUGGACCCUAAAUAACAUUUCGAACUGUUCUAGUGCAGCAUGAAUGGGAAAAAAAAAUCUAUGAGUAAAUAUGAGAAAAGAUUCAGGAUUCUCUGAAAGAAAGAUAAUAUCUGAAAACUUAUGAUGCAGGCACUGCUUAGACAUUCAAUUUGAACUUUAGACCAUUUCCCAACUGCAAAAAAAAAAAAAAAAUCCCCAAAAACAUAGCUUUUUAGAAGCAAAUUAUGAACUUAUUUAGCAGAAAUUAUUUAUAUGUUGGCAAAUACUGUAAAAAAAUAAGAUCCUACAGUUAUCCAUUCACUUAGUUAUAUCUUGUUCUCUGGAGUUCUUCUGUGAAAAAGUGCUAUGGACUGAAAGUAACAAAAAUGUUGUGACAUCAACCUGAAGAUAAAAUUCAGUUCUUGUUUUAUGUACAUAAUGCUGAAAAAUAAAAUAAAAUGAUUUUUACAGUAUUUAUAUUUGCUUAUAAAAUCCUAACAUUAUUUUCAACAGGUUUAGUAGUUUUCAACAUCUGUACAGUUUGGAUAUACACUAUAUGCUUUUCACUGAAAAUUCAGAAAUGUAAAACAAAUAAGCUCCUAAAUAGCUGCAAAAUAUUGCUUAAUGGUAUGGAAGAAUGAGGUCUUUUUGAGUAGUUUAUUUCAUUUAGCUCUGAUGUAUGGCUUCCCAUGUUUAAGAAUCCUGGACGGUUAAAGGAAUAGCAGCAUUGGCAAUAUAAACAUGCAUUGAUUGCAUCCAAACUAUCUAUAAUGGUAGAUAAUACGUAAUUUUACCUGUUGAAUGCUUGCACACUACACUUAUUGUGGUACAUAUUUGAUGCAAUAAAUGUGCUAAAGUCAUUAUCUGUUUGCUCAAACAUGCACCACAGGUUAAAAAUUAUUUACAUAGCAGAGGGCUUUUCAUUAACGUGUACAACAUCAACCUUACUGAGAGCUGAAGAUGGCUAAACAAUACUGCAGGAUAAAGCAGAACAACUUUGGAGAGGGCUCUUUUUCAUCAAUUUGGUGGGCUGAGGCAGAUUCAUUUAGUAUUUGUAUGCAGAAAGACAUUUGACAGAGACAAAAUCUGUGACUCCAGACCUAGGAAGAAGUUUGCACCUUCUGAAACUUAAUGGUCUGUGCAAAAAGUAAACCAUAUUUACUAUUCUUGUGAGUUGUAGAGGACUUUACAGGCAUACUAAGACUUGUUUGAACAUGAUACAAUAUGAAUACAUUAAUUAAGCACCUCAAAAUCUGUUAUUCCUUUCCAGAAACACUGUGCUAAAAAAAACCUGUUGUUCUUUAUGACUUAAUGUUAUUUUCAUGCAUGAUCUAUAAGUGCAGCAUGCCUUCAUGCAAAUAAUUUCUGUGUGUAUAUUAGUUGUAUAAUAGAACACCUGGCCCUUGUACCUGUAAAGGUGUACUUAAUUCCCUGCCCCAACAGAAGCCCCAUUUACAAAAAUAGUCACAUAUAAUAAACAACAUAUGAAUAAAAACAAGAUGAAUCCACCAACACAGAUUUUGUAAAAAUAUGAAGUAUGUGGCAGUUGAAAUGCAAACAGUGGAUACAGUUACCAUAUUAUUUUAUGCUAAACACACAAAUACUUGGUUUCACACCCCUUUAACUGGUCCCUACAGUCUGUGUAGCCAUUUUUUCUCUCCUCUUCAGCAGUGUCAGCUGGUAGUGAGAACAGUAACCUCCUGUCAAGGUUGUUUCUUCUUAUCACAGUCACAGUCACUGACAAGGGGUCACUGUCUUUUAAUAGGCACUGACCUUUAAUGUACAGUAUAUUUGUAAAAAUUGUCAGUUUGGCAUAGACCUCCUUCAGGAGUCCUGUUGACACAAACACAGGCUAUGAACUACUUUGCACUUAUAUUA